rnacentral:lncRNA from 1 species
CAAAAGCCCUUGAAGAUCCGUUCAUCACCGUUAUUCAAGAUCAAGCCUUAAUGGCCCUUGAAGAAACACUCAUCCUCAAGAUCAAGCCCCAACGGCUCCUUGAAGAUCCGCUCAAAUCCACCUUCAAAGAUCAACCUCACGACCCCCUUGAAGAAACUUCCAACAGUUCAUCCAAGAUCAAGCCUCGACGGCCCUUGGAUCAACGAAACAUCCACAAAUUAAUACCUUACGGAGAUCGAAUCAUAGGAUCAAAAUAGAGAGAGAUUGUAACCCUAAAUCAUCAAAUACAAAUAUUUUGUUUGUGCACGUUGUUUUUGUUGCUUUCGUUUCAGGAAAUUUUCGUGUUCACAAGUUCUUUAUUAUCAUUACUAAUUUACUAAGAUAAUAAAUUUUACUUAACAGUUAACAUGUUCUUGUCCAAAAUUAAAAUAAACUAGUAUAGUAUUUGUAUAGGUAAGAACUAAGAAGACAUACAUACAAUACAAGUAUGAAAAAUGUGAAAGAAUAUAUAAACACUUGCGAUUCAUCAUUAUUCCUCUACGAGUAGAUAAUGGUUACACUUUAUCGUUUAGAUUUUUAAAAUCCUCCCAA